UUGGGGAAUCUUGCGCAAUGGGCGAAAGCCUGACGCAGCCAUGCCGCGUGAAUGAUGAAGGUCUUAGGAUUGUAAAAUUCUUUCACCGGGGACGAUAAUGACGGUACCCGGAGAAGAAGCUCCGGCUAACUUCGUGCCAGCAGCCGCGGUAAUACGAAGGGGGCUAGCGUUGCUCGGAAUUACUGGGCGUAAAGGGCGCGUAGGCGGACAGCUUAGUCAGAGGUGAAAGCCCAGGGCUCAACCUUGGAAUUGCCUUUGAUACUGGCUGUCUUGAGUUUGGGAGAGGUGAGUGGAACUCCGGUUGUAGAGGUGAAAUUCGUAGAUAUUCGGAAGAACACCAGUGGCGAAGGCGACUCACUGGCCCAAUACUGACGCUGAGGCGCGAAAGCGUGGGGAGCAAACAGGAUUAGAAACCCCAGUAGUCC
rnacentral:rRNA from 1 species